ensembl:snoRNA
GGCAGAUGAUGUCCUUUUCUCACGAUGGUCUGCGGAUGUCUCUGGGCAGUGCCGAUAAUGCCAAAAGCUCUACUGAUGCCAGGAG